CCUACGGGAGGCAGCAGUGGGGAAUAUUGCACAAUGGGGGAAACCCUGAUGCAGCGACGCCGCGUGAGCGAUGAAGUAUCUCGGUAUGUAAAGCUCUAUCAGCAGGGAAGAAAGUGACAGUACCUGACUAAGAAGCCCCGGCUAACUACGUGCCAGCAGCCGCGGUAAUACGUAGGGGGCAAGCGUUAUCCGGAUUCACUGGGCGGAAAGGGAGCGCAGGCGGCACGGCAAGUCUGGUGUGAAAACCCGGGGCUCAACCCCGGGACUGCAUUGGAAACUGCCGGGCUUGAGUGUCGGAGGGGAAAGCGGAAUUCCUGGUGUAGCGGUGAAAUGCGUAGAUAUUAGGAGGAACACCAGUGGCGAAGGCGGGUUACUGGACGAUGACUGACGCUGAGGCUCGAAAGCGUGGGGAGCAAACAGGAUUAGAUACCCGGGUAGUC
rnacentral:rRNA from 1 species